GACGAACGCUGGCGGCGUGCUUAACACAUGCAAGUCGAACGGAAAGGCCCUGCUUUUGUGGGGUGCUCGAGUGGCGAACGGGUGAGUAACACGUGAGUAACCUGCCCUUGACUUUGGGAUAACUUCAGGAAACUGGGGCUAAUACCGGAUAGGAGCUCCUGCUGCAUGGUGGGGGUUGGAAAGUUUCGGCGGUUGGGGAUGGACUCGCGGCUUAUCAGCUUGUUGGUGGGGUAGUGGCUUACCAAGGCUUUGACGGGUAGCCGGCCUGAGAGGGUGACCGGCCACAUGGGGACUGAGAGACGGCCCAGACGCCUACGGGAGGCAGCAGGGGGGAAUAUGGCACAAUGGGCGGAAGCCUGAGGCAGCAACGCCGCGUGCGGGAUGACGGCCUUCGGGGUGUAAACCGCUGUCGGCUGUGACGAAGCGUGAGUGACGGUAAUGGGUAAAGAAGCACCGGCUAACUACGUG
rnacentral:rRNA from 1 species